CCAGGUUUUGUGUUGUUUUCUGGCUGGAGGUCACACAGAGAAUUACUACCAGACUCAGAACUGAAUGGAACAGAAUCUGAGAGGGUGUGACUCUGAUGCUGAACUCCUCUUCAUGCUAAGGGCUCCCUGGUGCCCACAUGGCCCUUCUGUAGCCACUCUGUUUACUACUAUGUUCCUGACUAAGUCUGGAUACAUCUUCAGAGCAGGAUGAUACCAUAAUCAUCUUCAUAUAUGCCACGUAAGCUACUAAGGUUCCUUGCAUAUAGUAGGUUUCAUGAUUCCAAGGUUCCAUGAUUCCUUGUGGUAUUCUGUGAAUUCUGUGUACCUGAUUCUCCCUCCACCCACCUCAUAACUGAACAAUGAGAUGUUAUGAGAAUUCCAAAAUAUGAUCAUAUCCAUUGACCUGACAACAUCCAGCGGCUUCCAAAUUUAUCACUUACCUGUAUGACACUGCAUGGCCUCACUUUAAACUUUUGUCUGAUUUUUAGCAGGUGGCUCUGGGACUCUGUUUCCCUGGUUUCUCUGAGCUCCUCCAGCACCCAGAAACCUCAGAAGACCCUGUCUGAGAUCUAGGACCCAACGCCUCCUUUCAGAUACUAGUGAUGAUGCCAGUGUCCCUGCUAGAGAGAGAUGUGGAUGCAUUUAAUUAUCUCGUUACGCAAGCUCUUCUCCCUAAUAUCUGAAGGGCUCCCUUUCUGUCAACUGAGCUGCUGGCCAGAAACCAAUGUGGGUAACAUGCCUGUGAAAUGUGCUGCCUCAGUUGUUGGUGGAAGGACUUCAUGAGUCAGAAUGGAAGGCUUUCCUAGGACCAGCCAACAAACUGCAUUUCCAGGUAGGUUUUCAGGAUGCAAUUUCAUAGGGAGUAAGAAUGGCCUCAGGUCUAUGAGGCUAUAACAUUGAGUAAUUUCUGCAUUUCCAAAGGUGGUGAGAAAUUUCUAUCCUGGAACUUAAUUUUCUUCCCCUGGAGUCUGUUCCUAGCCAAUUGCUGUAAAAGGUGCUGCCAUCACCCAGUCACUUGAGCCAACAGCCUCCCAGUCAACCAUGGUUCUCUUCUUUUCAUGACGCCUCUCCCUAUCCUAUCCAUCAGCAAGUACCCUCGGUCCUACCUCUGAAUUCGACCUUCAGUCUCCCUACCUCCGUCCACAUCCAUCCAUUUGCAUGACCACCACCACCGUGUCUCAUUUGGCCUACUGCCCCCUAGUGGUUUCCCGCCUCCACUGCAUGCCUUUUGAUCAUUCAUUCUGUAAAUGUCAAAGAAAACAGAUCACAUCAUACUGCUGCUGAAAACUCCUGGACACUACACCUGCACCUGUAGUAACCCACGAGGCCCUGCCUGACGUGGUCUCAGUGUAUCUCUGCAGCUGCAUCUUGCCCCUCCAUACCUCACUCGACCCCAGCCACAUUGAUCUUCAGGUUUCUAAGCAUCCCGCAUAUUUCUGUUUUGCAAAUGCUGCUCUCUUGCCUAGCUCUUUCAUCUCCUCUCCUUUAAAUGCCCAGCUUGUUUUUGUCCCGCAAGUCUCAGCUCAUUCCCCACUUUCUCAGAGGUGUCUUCUGUGAGUGUUCUAGCUAAAGUAGACCCCGCUGUCAAUCACCAUCUCAGCCCUUUGUUUCUUUCUUUCACAACCCGUUAUCACGAGUUGAAAUUAUUCUGCAUAUCUGACAUUGUUUUUGUUUGACCUUCUUCUGUAGAAUAAUAGGGAUUAUACUUGUAUUGUUCACCAUUGUAUUUCCAGGGUGCAGCUUAGUACCUGCCCUAUGGUAGAUACUUAGCAGAUACUGGUUAUGACUAACUGACUGAUACAUGAAUGAAUGCAUGCAUGCAUGGAUGAGUUCACUCCUUCGCAUAACUGGAUGGCUGGUUAAUUAUGUCAGGCUGUUUGGAAUUUACUUCCUGAAGAAACUGGAAAAAAAGAAGCCCACCUCUUGAUUCUACACGCAUCACCCUCACACCAGAUUGCUGAAUGCAUUUUAAAAAAAGAAAGAAAAGCAGAAUUCAUUUUGCAGAGCUUGUUUGCUUUGUAUGCCUGGUCCUCCUAUGACCUCGUCUUGCUCCUGGAAAGGGUGGUUCCCUUGCAGUGGCUCCAUCAAUCCCUGGUCCCUAGACCCCCACUGUUGAAACCACAGGAAAGGCAAGCACAACAUCACCUUUAAUUAGCAAGAGAGGCGUCUGCCUGAUACACACAGUGCCUUGGAAACAAGAGACAGAAAAAUGUAAGGCAGGAUCAGCUUCGUGGAAAGAACUAGAAAAUGAAAAAGAAUAAUUAUCCUGUUUUAACAUAAUGUUGUUAAUCUGUAUUACCCAUUAUUAUCGAGAGCGUCUUGCCUAUUGAAUAUGCGAGCUGUGGCGCCGCUCUUUGCUCCAUCAGUGUAGCUAACGGAAGGGACUGGCUCCUCAUCCAUCAUAAUAAUUAGUUUGUCAUAAUUUUCUGCCCUUUUUGGCUCUGCAGUAAAAAGAUAGAAGAGGCAUUUAAAGUUAUUCAGGAAUUGUUCCCCAAAUUUCCUCCCUGUUCUUUAUGGGAACAGAUAGCUAUAUUUCUGCCCUAUUUAUUUUAUGUUUGGUCUGUGAUAAUGAAGUAUAUUUCAUCUGGCAGUAUAUAGCUUUAAUUUUCAUGUUCUACUUGGAAACACCUCGCUGUUUCAUUUCAUUUCAGUUCUACACUAUAUAAAGAGAGCUCAUGCUUCUUUCUGAACUCACCCAUCACCCACCAGAGUUAAUUCUAGUUUCAGGACCAACAUUACAACUUCAUGAGCUGACUGCAUAAUAACACACAGUGGAUCUCCAGUCCAUUAGUGUUGACAGAGUGUUUUCCUUGUUUUAUCCCUUAAUUCUCACAACAGCCCUGGGAGGUAGGCAAGGCAGGGGUUAUCCACAUGCCCAUUUGACAGACUGAGGAGCAGAAAGAUGAGUUGACUUGCCCAGGGCCAUGCUCCUUCAGCAAAAAGGUGCUGGGACUUGAUUCCUGGUUUCCCAAUUGUACAUUUAGGCCCUUUCUGUAACUCCAGCAACAUCCUGCUUCUAC
rnacentral:lncRNA from 1 species